rnacentral:rRNA from 1 species
UGGCCCCUAGGGGGGCAGCAGUGAGGAAUAUUGGUCAAUGGCCGGGAGGCUGAACCAGCCAAGUCGCGUGAGGGAAGACGGCCCUACGGGUUGUAAACCUCUUUUGUCAGGGAGCAAGGGGCGGGUCGAGACCUGCUGUGAGAGUACCUGAAGAAAAAGCAUCGGCUAACUCCGUGCCAGCAGCCGCGGUAAUACGGAGGAUGCGAGCGUUAUCCGGAUUUAUUGGGUUUAAAUGGUGCGCAGGCGGAGGCACACGUCAGCGGUAAAAUCGCGGGGCUCAACCCCGCUCCGCCGUUGACAC